rnacentral:rRNA from 1 species
CAGCCGUAAACUAUGCGCGUUAGGUGUACUGGUGACCACGAGUUACCGAGGUGCCGAAGGGAAACCGUGAAACGUGCCGCCUGGGAAGUACGGUCGCAAGGCUGAAACUUAAAGGAUUGGCGGGGGAGCACCACAACGGGUGGAGCCUGCGGUUUAAUUGGACUCAACGCCGGGAAGCUCACCGGAUAAGACAGCGGAAUGAUUGCCGGGCUGAAGACUCUGCAUGACUAGCUGAGAGGAGGUGCAUGGCGUAGACGUCU